rnacentral:rRNA from 1 species
UACGUAGGGUGCAAGCGUUACUCGGAAUUACUGGGCGUAAAGCGUGCGCAGGCGGUUUUUCAAGACAGCUGUGAAAUCCCCGGGCUCAACCUGGGAAUGGCAUUUGUGACUGGAAGGCUAGAGUACGGUAGAGGGGGAUGGAAUUCCGCGUGUAGCAGUGAAAUGCGUAGAUAUGCGGAGGAACACCGAUGGCGAAGGCAAUCCCCUGGACCUGUACUGACGCUCAUGCACGAAAGCGUGGGGAGCAAACAGG